UAUUCUAGACUAUUCUAAAAUAGUCUAGAAUGAGCUAGAAUGUUCUAGAAGGUUCGAGAACAUUAUGGAGUUCUCUGGAAUAUUCUAGAAGAUGGUAGAAACUCUUUUAUGUAUAGUAGAGAAUGUGACAAUAUUCUAGAGUAGUGGAAUAUCCUAGAACAUAUGAGAAUAGGUAGAUAUGAAUAUUGUUUGGGAUACUUAUAUGGAAUAUUCUAGAAUGUCGUAGAACAUGGAGGUUGAUGCCUAUAUAUAGGGGAAGACCUCCUCAUUUGUAGGAUGUACAAAAGGAGUGAAGCAAAGUGUGAGCCCAAGUGUGUACCAAAGUGAUCCCUUAGUAGUGGAAUAUUCUAGAACAUAUGAGAAUAGGUAGAUAUGAAUAUUGUUUGGGAUACUUAUAUGGAAUAUUCUAGAAUGUCGUAGAACAUGGAGGUUGAUGCCUAUAUAUAGGGGAAGACCUCCUCAUUUGUAGGAUGUACAAAAAAAGUGUGAGCCCAAGUGUGUACCAAAGUGAUCCCUCGUGUAAUAAAAGUUGAAGAAUUACAAAAGUCUCUCUCCAUAUAGCUACAUAUAUUAAACCUUC
rnacentral:lncRNA from 1 species